rnacentral:lncRNA from 1 species
AAAGCCUUCUCUUUUGAGCCACUGGGUUUAAAUGAUUCUGACAUCUGAAAGAGAAAAUUUAGUUUUCAGGUUCCUGGAGCCACAUUAGCCUGGUGAGCGGAGUUGUCAUUAACCCCGCAGUCAGAACUCUACUGACUACGUGGCAAUGUUCCCCAAACAAGGGAACAC